rnacentral:rRNA from 1 species
GACGAACGCUGGCGGCGUGCCUAAUACAUGCAAGUAGAACGCUGAAGAGAAGAGCUUGCUCUUCUUGGAUGAGUUGCGAACGGGUGAGUAACGCGUAGGUAACCUGCCUUGUAGCGGGGGAUAACUAUUGGAAACGAUAGCUAAUACCGCAUAACAAUGGAUGACACAUGUCAUUUAUUUGAAAGGGGCAAUUGCUCCACUACAAGAUGGACCUGCGUUGUAUUAGCUAGUAGGUGAGGUAACGGCUCACCUAGGCGUCGAUACAUAGCCGACCUGAGAGGGUGAUCGGCCACACUGGGACUGAGACACGGCCCAGACUCCUACGGGAGGCAGCAGUAGGGAAUCUUCGGCAAUGGGGGCAACCCUGACCGAGCAACGCCGCGUGAGUGAAGAAGGUUUUCGGAUCGUAAAGCUCUGUUGUAAGUCAAGAACGAGUGUGAGAGUGGAAAGUUCACACUGUGACGGUAGCUUACCAGAAAGGGACGGCUAACUACGUG